rnacentral:lncRNA from 1 species
CCAAUGAGAAAUGUUGUGAAUGUACAGUUACAUUAGAAGAGCUCCUCACUACCCCUGUGAUUUGGCCUCCCGACCGCUUUUCCUGAAAUUGAUAUUUUUCCACAAGCACAGCAGUGCUGCUUUCCUAUGCCACUUUCUGUGAAGCCCUGGAAGACAUUUAAGCAUUGCUCUGCUCCAUUACCCGGCUUGAGCUCGAUCUUCAUUAGCAUGUAUUUGACAGGCGGGAUGACAUGGGAAAGAGGGACACUGUCAGGAAAGGAAGAUCAUUCCAAAGCAUUCCGCUUCUGCAUUCUGCAAAAGGACCCUAAUUAUCUUCAACAAAGAGAAGAGGAGGCUAAUUACAGAAACACAAAGUUCUAUUGGAAGCAUCAGUUUGUCCCACGUCUGGCCAUCAAACCGAGAAACACAGAUAAAGAAAAUACAGCCACCUUCGCUUGCUGUCUCAGCCGACCUCAGCGCCGGGGUUAUCGCCGAUAACGAAGACCACCGCUUGGAUCAGUCAUUGCCUUUUCGCAGGACAGCUGCCGGCUGGAGGGACUGGACGUGAUUCAUCAGCACAUUGAUUGUUCCCGCACCCUCAGCUCUCGACUCCAGCUGUCCAAAAAUAAGAGAAGGAAAACACGGAGAACCCAAUUUUUAAAACCAAAAAAAAAAAACCCCAAAUGAGGCGAGCAAUCCCUGCGACGAGCCGGAGAGCUGGGCUUGUCUCCUGGUAGCCGGGGCUGCGUUUGCAACAGUGGCGGAAUGAGAAAGAUAGCGGGCCAGCAAGCACUCACACCCGAAAGCCAGGGCAGUACAGCUGUUCUGGGAGGCAAUAGCAGGAAAUACCAGAGAACUUCAGAGGAGAGCGCACAACACUGUGGAGCGGAGAAGCGCUGCAAACGUGGAGCGGAGCACGGAACUGGCUUGAUUUAUUAAUAAGCCACGCUCGGCUGGAGGGCGUAAUGCAAAGCGCCGUGCACGCCGGAGAAAACCUCCUUCUUUUCCAGAACUCUAACAUUACGUUUCAAAAGGUAGGGAGAAAAAAGGAAGUGUAUAUAUAGUAUAUUGCAUGCGAAUGCAACAAACAGUACCAUCCAGAGACAGUCUAUCGCGUCCCUUUUUUUAACUGAGGGAUUUGUUUGGAUCAGCGCUUCUUACAACCGGUUUGUCAGCGCUGCAUUACGAGGAGCAAAAAAAAAAAAGUUUUCACACUGUUUUGAAAGUAAGGUGAACUAUUUGUGCAGUGAAAUGGCGACGCAAACCUUCCUGUUUAUGAACUUCGUGAAAAACAAAAACGAUUUGCCAACGUAAAGACAUGACCUAACAAUACAAUAAAAACACGCGUUUGCGGUGUUGGAUAUCUAAUUUUUACAAACGUUUGACAUUUAUGACCUAAUAAAUAAUUCCUUUGUAAAAUUAACCUUUAAAUGAGUUUAGGUUAAGCCUCCAAUUUAUUUUUAUCUCCAUCAUUUACAGUCUCCCGUUUCUAUGGUAACAGCAAGCUAGGGGGCCAAGCAGAGAUUCCUUACUAUCAGCGGUGUGGGUCACAG